UACGGGGGGGGCAAGCGUUGUUCGGAAUUACUGGGCGUAAAGGGCUCGUAGGUGGCCAACUAAGUCAGACGUGAAAUCCCUCGGCUUAACCGGGGAACUGCGUCUGAUACUGGAUGGCUUGAGUUCGGGAGAGGGAUGCGGAAUUCCAGGUGUAGCGGUGAAAUGCGUAGAUAUCUGGAGGAACACCGGUGGCGAAGGCGGCAUCCUGGCCCGAUACUGACGCUGAGGAGCGAAAGCCUGGGGAGCAAACGGG
rnacentral:rRNA from 1 species